rnacentral:rRNA from 1 species
AAUGAACGUUGGCGGCAUGGAUUAGGCAUGCAAGUCGAGCGAGAAGGAAAUCAAAGUUUACUUUGGUUUCCGGAAAGCGGCGAAAGGGAGAGUAACGCGUAGUUAUCUACCCCAAGGCCCGGAAUAGCUGCGGGAAACUGCAGGUAAUGCCGGAUAAUAUCCCCGGAUCAAAGGUGUGAUUCCGCCUUGGGAGGAGACUGCGUUGUACUAGCUUGUUGGUAGGGUAAUGGCCUACCAAGGCUACGAUGCAUAGCGGGCGUGAGAGCGUGGCCCGUCUCACUGGGACUGAAACACUGCCCAGACACCUACGGGUGGCUGCAGUCGAGAAUCUUCGGCAAUGGGCGAAAGCCUGACCGAGCGAUGCCGCGUGCGGGAUGAAGGCCCUCGGGUUGUAAACCGCUGUCGUAGGGGAGAAAGGACCGUUGAAGAGACGGUUUUGAUCUAUCCUAGGAGGAAGUCCGGGCUAAGUUCGUGCCAGCCGCCGCCGUAA